rnacentral:rRNA from 1 species
UACAGAGGUCUCAAGCGUUGUUCGGAUUCAUUGGGCGUAAAGGGUGCGCAGGCUGUGGGGUAAGUCGGAUGUGAAAUUUAGAGGCUCAACCUCUAAACUGCAUUCGAUACUGCUCCGCUAGAGGUAUGUAGAGGAGAUUGGAAUUCACGGUGUAGCAGUGAAAUGCGUAGAUAUCGUGAGGAAGACCAGUGGCGAAGGCGAAUCUCUGGGCAUUACCUGACGCUCAUGCACGAAGGCCAGGGGAGCAAACGGG